rnacentral:rRNA from 1 species
CAGUCGCCGCGGGAAUACGUAGGUGGCAAGCGUUGUCCGGAAUUAUUGGGCGUAAAGGGCUCGCAGGCAGUUUCUUAAGUCUGAUGUGAAAGCCCCCGGCUCAACCUUGGAACUGCCUUUGAUACUGUUUGUCUUGAGUUCGAGAGAGGUAAGUGGAACUGCGAGUGUAGAGGUGAAAUUCGUAGAUAUUCGCAAGAACACCAGUGGCGAAGGCGGCUUACUGGCUCGAAACUGACGCUGAGGCGCGAAAGCGUGGGGAGCAAACAGGAUUAGAUACCCCAGUAGUCCCUGUCUCUUAUAC